rnacentral:rRNA from 1 species
GACGAACGCUGGCGGCGUGCCUAAUACAUGCAAGUCGAACGCAGUGGGGACGGGUGAGUAACACGUGGGUAACCUCCCAUCAGAGGGGAUAACACUUGGAAACAGGUGCUAAACCGAUAUAGAUGGAGGGACCCGCGGUGCAUGAGCUAGUUGGGGGGGUAGCGGCUCACCAAGUCCACGAUGCAUAUCCGACCUGAGAGGGUGACCGGCCACACUGGUACUGAGCCACGGCCCAUACUCCUACGUGAGGCAGCAGCAGGGAAUCUUCGGCAAUGGACGAAAGUCUGACCGAGCAACGCCGCGUGAGUGAAGAAGGUUUUCGGAUCGUAACACUCUGUUGUUAGAGCAGCGGUAUCUAACCAGAAAGCCACGGCUAACUACGUGCCAGCAGCCGCGGUAAUUC